rnacentral:lncRNA from 1 species
GGGAAACCGAAUCUGCCAUCCUGUGGACUGAAAAGGGCCCUGAAAAUGUCACGAUCUGGUGCUCUCCCCUCAGGCAGAGGCAGCCUAAUCUACACAGGUAAAUGAAGUGGAAGAUUAAGUAAUUAUCUUCAGUAUUUGAUUAAUGUGGAAAAUCAACAUGAAAGAUUUUAGUAUCUCAGGGUAUUCUUUUCCCCUCAACUGUGCAUGUUUGAACCUUAACUAAGCCAAUAUUUUCUUAGCUUUCUGUUUGAUUUUGACACCGGAUUGAAGAGGAUGAAUGAAAACAUUUCUAAGGCAGUUUUCAACGCUCCUGGAACAAAAGAUGCAGGCGUAGCCGAGGCCGCCACACAGGUCUCCAUCCUGUCUGUAGAGCACAAGGAAAACAUGCACUGGCCUCUAGGUUGUGUCAGUGUGUAUUCUGGGUCUCAGCCGCAAUCUCUGGCCCUGAAGCCAAAGCUCUUUCCUCCCAAGGCCCUAGCGGGGUCCACACGUGUUCCACGCAUCUGUCUACAAAGCAGACACUUCUGUCUUGUAGGGUUUAUAUGGAGUUCUCUCUGAGACUGUUUAACUUCUCAAGAGGCCUGCUUCCAUCUGCACUCCAAAGGCGUUUGCGUUCUUAACGGACCCGAACUCCUCCUUGGCCUUCCUGGCACAGUCCGUGCCCUGGCUACCACUUGCUUGGGAGCCUCUGUUCUCCGUUGCGUCCUCUGGCUGCUGCUGACCCAGCAGCUCAGUGUAAGGUGGGGGCGGGGUGAAACUCACAGGUCACGGUUCUGGAGUCGUUUCGUGUUUCACGAUCUUAACCACGGGUCUGACUAACUGUAGCAUAGAGGGAGGUUAAAUGCACGCAUGAGCAGAGUGUGUGCGUAUGUGCGUGCCCACCAGUGACUGCCGCCACCUGUCUGUAUCUUCACCUAUUCUAGAGGGCAAAAAAAAAAAACAAAACACCGAGAGAUCUUUGCUUGAUUUGGAGGUUGACCAGGAGGACCCAUGGCUGCUUCGGAAUAGCUUUGUACUCAGAGUCUUGUGUGUCCUGAUUAUGACGAAAUGUAGGUCUGAUAGUGGCAACAGGAGGAACAGGAGAAGAACCGGGACAAUUUCAGGAGUGAUUCAACGUUUCUGCUGCAGUGAUCCUAUCUUCUAUGACCUUCGGAAGCUCAAAAUUAUCAACACAAAGUAUUCUUAAUGGCUGCGUUGUAGCCAGAGUAGUUUUGUGGCAGCUGAAUAACUCUCUUCCCUGUCUGGAAAGGUGCAGGGCUUCACCUUCAAUGGCUAGAAAGGGGAAUUCAUGUCAUUACUAUUUUAUAGAAGCAAUAAAACAAAAAAUAAUUGGAGACA